rnacentral:rRNA from 1 species
AGUGAACGCUGGCGGUAGGCCUAACACAUGCAAGUCGAACGGCAGCACAGUAAGAGCUUGCUCUUACGGGUGGCGAGUGGCGGACGGGUGAGGAAUACAUCGGAAUCUACUUUUUCGUGGGGGAUAACGUAGGGAAACUUACGCUAAUACCGCAUACGACCUACGGGUGAAAGCAGGGGAUCUUCGGACCUUGCGCGAUUGAAUGAGCCGAUGUCGGAUUAGCUAGUUGGCGGGGUAAAGGCCCACCAAGGCGACGAUCCGUAGCUGGUCUGAGAGGAUGAUCAGCCACACUGGAACUGAGACACGGUCCAGACUCCUACGGGAGGCAGCAGUGGGGAAUAUUGGACAAUGGGCGCAAGCCUGAUCCAGCCAUACCGUGUGGGUGAAGAAGGCCUUCGGGUUGUAAAGCCCUUUUGUUGGGAAAGAAAAGCAGCAGGUUAAUACCCCGCUGUUCUGACGGUACCCAAAGAAUAAGCACCGGCUAACUUCGU